GAUGAGUCCAGCUUGACAGGUGAGACAACGCCUUGUUCUAAGGUGACAGCUCCUCAGCCAGCUGCAACUAAUGGAGAUCUUGCAUCGAGAAGUAACAUUGCCUUUAUGGGAACACUGGUCAGAUGUGGCAAAGCAAAGGGUGUUGUCAUUGGAACAGGAGAAAAUUCUGAAUUUGGGGAGGUUUUUAAAAUGAUGCAAGCAGAAGAGGCACCAAAAACCCCUCUGCAGAAGAGCAUGGACCUCUUAGGAAAACAACUUUCCUUUUACUCCUUUGGUAUAAUAGGAAUCAUCAUGUUGGUUGGCUGGUUACUGGGAAAAGAUAUCCUGGAAAUGUUUACUAUUAGUGUAAGGUAAGUCUCAAUACUUUAUAAUUGGAGUCUCUUUUGCCUCUUUUAUUUCUCUAAUGGACAUAGCUUACGUUUUAUUAUGGAGAUCAGUAUUACAUGGAGCCCAUAAGAGUAUAACAUCGCUACAUAAAUAGUUCAGAAGUCAUAUAUUAAAAUUAUCCUUAGAAAAAUGAAAAUGUAUGUAUAUGGUAAUGAAGAAAACCCAUACUAGAUGUCUGGAAUUACUAAUGCAUUAUUGCCUUU
rnacentral:lncRNA from 10 species